UCAUUAUAUCAGUUAUAGUUUAUUUGAUGGUACCUCACUACAUGGAUAACCGUAGUAAUUCUAGAGCUAAUACAUGCCAAGAAGCGGCAACUUUCGAAGCCGUGGACUUAUUAGAUCAAGAGCUAGCCCUCCUCGGAGGACCAAGCUGAAUCAUAGUAAUUUUGCUAAUCGCAGAGGCUUCGGCCGGCGAUGGGUCAUUCAAAUUUCUGCCCUAUCAGCUGUGAUGUUAGUGUAGUGGACUAACAUGGCAUAAACGGGUGACGGAGGAUUAGGGUCUGAUUCCGGAGAGGGAGCCUGAGAAAUGGCUACCACUUCCAAGGAAGGCAGCAGGCGCGUAAAUUACCCAAUCCCGACACGGGGAGGUAGUGACAAGAAAUAACAAUACCGGAUCUUUUUAGUUCUGGUAAUUGGAAUGAGUACAACCCAAAACCUUUAACAAGGAACAAUUGGAGGGCAAGUCUGGUGCCAGCAGCCGCGGUAAUACCAGCUCCAAUAGCGUAUAUUAAAGUUGUUGCAGUUAAAAGGCUCGUAGUCGAACUUUUAGCUCUCUGGCUCUGUCCCGUCCUCUUGUGGGGCGUUGUGACUGUUCUAAGAGCUUUUCUGGUGGAAAGUGUUUCUGCCCUUUAUUGGGUUGGUUGCAUAAUCUGCCUCUUUUACUGUGAGAAAAACAAGGUGCUCAAAGCAGGCUUUGUAGCUUGAAUGCGUUAGCAUGGAAUAAUAAGAUAGGACUUUGAUUCUAUUUUGUUGGCUCUGAGAAACAAAGUAAUGAUUGAUAGGGAUAGUUGGGGGUGCUCGUAUUUAACGGUCAGCGGUGAAAUGCAUGGACCCGUUAAAGACGAACUUAUGCGAAAGCAUUCACCAAGGAUAUCUUCUUUGAUCAAGAACGAAAGUUGGGGGAUCGAAGGCGAUCAGAUACCGUCGUAGUCUCAACCAUAAACUAUGCCGACUAGGGAUUGGCGGCAGUUGAUCAUUGACCCCGUCAGCACCUUAUGAGAAAUCAAAGUCUCUGGGUUCUGGGGGGAGUAUGGUCGCAAGGCUGAAACUUAAAGGAAUUGACGGAAGGGCACCACCAGGAGUGGAACCUGCGGCUUAAUUUGACUCAACACGGGAAAA
rnacentral:rRNA from 1 species